CAUAUACCUCUAAUUCUAUAGUUUUGUUUGAUUAAAAGAAAUAGUUUUGGUUUUUUUCUUCGUUAUCUUAGGAUUUGUGAUUUUUUUUUUUUUGUUGAAUUUACCUAGUUUAAAAAGAUCAGUGUUGGCGCGAAUUCAAAUGUGUCUUAUCAAACAUCAGGUGUACUACGGUCACCAUACUGAGAUAUACGAUAUGGCGUGAUUUCAAUCACAGAAGUAACCCACUAAGCCAGAAACCGGGUAAGGCAC